CUAUGUCUCCAACAUAGUCCAACAUGGACUCUCUUCGCAAACAAGGGGCUGACAAGAUAUGCCAUACCACAACUUCUGACCACACCACUUCAUCUGAGUCAUCAUCUGAGUCCUCUUCCACCAGUAAUUCAUCUACCUCUUCUUCCUCCAAUUCUUCAUUGUCAUCAGACGAUAAAAGUCAUAAGAAAAGGCGUUACAAAAAAAAGCAUACAAGGGAAGACAAAAGGCAUCGGAAGGAAAAGAAGUCGGCAAAAGCAAGGCAUCGCAAAAAGGACAAGAAGGAACAGAAGUCCGCAAAACCUGAAUGUGGACAAAGAGCUUCCAGUCCAAAAGACAUCGUUGCAAGGUACAAGAAGGUUCUGCGGGCUUACAACCGUGGAAAAAAACUUGGGGAAGCGUGUACCAUUGCUGGUGUUACAGAGCUGACCGUUCGAUAUC